rnacentral:rRNA from 1 species
UACGAAGGGGGCUAGCGUUGCUCGGAAUCACUGGGCGUAAAGCGCACGUAGGCGGAUUCUUAAGUCAGGGGUGAAAUCCCGGAGCUCAACUCCGGAACUGCCUUUGAUACUGAGAGUCUCGAGUUCGGGAGAGGUGAGUGGAACUGCGAGUGUAGAGGUGAAAUUCGUAGAUAUUCGCAAGAACACCAGUGGCGAAGGCGGCUCACUGGCCCGAUACUGACGCUGAGGUGCGAAAGCGUGGGGAGCGAACAGG